AAAGCCAUUGUCAUUUGUGCUCGGCGUAGUGUGAAAAUAAGCAUAUAAAUAAUAAAUAUGAACAUCAAACUGCAUCACAUCCCUAUAAGCAGAGGGUAAAUGGGGGGAUGGCUUUGGAUGUCCGAGCUGUGACGAUUUGAAACUCGAGCUGGUCUACAUUCAAAAACCCAACUGUGGAAGAAUCUGAAUGCAUCUCAGCACUGAUCCGUCCUCCUCCUCUUCAUUUCGACCAUGUUGCCCUGCCUCCUAUUUUUCCCCUCAGAUGCAUGUUAUUGGAUCGCCCCGCCCCAGCAGGCAAAGUGUGCGGCGAGCUCUCGGUUAGCAUAUUUGUAGACGAGUCGAAAAAAGG
ensembl:ncRNA F45B8.13 ncRNA